rnacentral:rRNA from 1 species
UACGUAGGGGGCAAGCGUUGUUCGGAUUUACUGGGCGUAAAGGGCGCGUAGGCGGCCACCGCAAGUCGACUGUGAAAUCUCCGGGCUUAACUCGGAAAGGUCAGCCGAUACUGCGGGGCUAGAGUGCAGAAGGGGCAACUGGAAUUCUCGGUGUAGCGGUGAAAUGCGUAGAUAUCGAGAGGAACACCUGCGGCGAAGGCGGGUUGCUGGGCUGACACUGACGCUGAAGUGCGAAAGCUGGGGGAGCGAA